GCAUUUGUGGUUCAGUGGUACAAUUCCUGCCUUCCAUGCAGGAUACCUGGGUUCAAUUCCUGGCCAAUGCA
rnacentral:tRNA from 1 species